UUGUAAUACAAUAGUUUGAUGAAACGAGGCCCAGUUCUCGUCCGAUCACUGAAGUUAAGCAACGUUGAGCGUAGAUAAUACUUGGAUGGGUGACCGCUUGGGAACACCACGUAACGUUGGUAU
rnacentral:rRNA from 1 species